rnacentral:rRNA from 1 species
GACCGUCUCAGUUCGGAUUGCAGGCUGCAACUCGCCUGCAUGAAGCUGGAAUUGCUAGUAAUCGUGGAUCAGCAAGCCACGGUGAAUACGUUCCCGGGCCUUGUACACACCGCCCGUCACACCAUGAGAGUCGGGAACACCCGAAGUCCGUAGUCUAACCCGCAAGGGAGGGCGCGGCCGAAGGUGGGUCUGAUAAUUGGGGUGAAGUCGUAACAAGGUAUC